rnacentral:rRNA from 1 species
UGCACGCUGGCGGUAGGCCUAACACAUGCAAGUCGAACGGCAGCACAGUAAGAGCUUGCUCUUACGGGUGGCGAGUGGCGGACGGGUGAGGAAUACAUCGGAAUCUACUUUUUCGUGGGGGAUAACGUAGGGAAACUUACGCUAAUACCGCAUACGACCUACGGGUGAAAGCAGGGGAUCUUCGGACCUUGCGCGAUUGAAUGAGCCGAUGUCGGAUUAGCUAGUUGGCGGGGUAAAGGCCCACCAAGGCGACGAUCCGUAGCUGGUCUGAGAGGAUGAUCAGCCACACUGGAACUGAGACACGGUCCAGACUCCUACGGGAGGCAGCAGUGGGGAAUAUUGGACAAUGGGCGCAAGCCUGAUCCAGCCAUACCGCGUGGGUGAAGAAGGCCUUCGGGUUGUAAAGCCCUUUUGUUGGGAAAGAAAAGCAGCAGGUUAAUACCCCGCUGUUCUGACGGUACCCAAAGAAUAAGCACCGGCUAACUUCGUG